rnacentral:rRNA from 1 species
GACGAACGCUGGCGGCGUGCCUAAUACAUGCAAGUAGAACGCUGAGGACUGGUGCUUGCACUGGUCUAAGGAGUUGCGAACGGGUGAGUAACGCGUAGGUAACCUACCUCAUAGCGGGGGAUAACUAUUGGAAACGAUAGCUAAUACCGCAUGACAAUAGGGUACACAUGUACCCUAUUUAAAAGGGGCAAAUGCUUCACUAUGAGAUGGGCCUGCGUUGUAUUAGCUAGUUGGUAAGGUAACGGCUUACCAAGGCGACGAUACAUAGCCGACCUGAGAGGGUGAUCGGCCACACUGGGACUGAGACACGGCCCAGACUCCUACGGGAGGCAGCAGUAGGGAAUCUUCGGCAAUGGGGGGAACCCUGACCGAGCAACGCCGCGUGAGUGAAGAAGGUUUUCGGAUCGUAAAGCUCUGUUGUUAGAGAAGAACGGUAAUGGGAGUGGAAAUUCCAUUACGUGACGGUAACUAACCAGAAAGGGACGGCUAA